rnacentral:rRNA from 1 species
AGAGUUUGAUCAUGGCUCAGAAUGAACGCUGGCGGCAGGCCUAACACAUGCAAGUCGAACGGGAUCUUCGGAUCUAGUGGCGGACGGGUGAGUAACGCGUGGGAACGUGCCCUUUGCUUCGGAAUAGCCCCGGGAAACUGGGAGUAAUACCGGAUGUGCCCUUUGGGGGAAAGAUUUAUCGGCAAAGGAUCGGCCCGCGUUGGAUUAGGUAGUUGGUGGGGUAAUGGCCUACCAAGCCGACGAUCCAUAGCUGGUUUGAGAGGAUGAUCAGCCACACUGGGACUGAGACACGGCCCAGACUCCUACGGGAGGCAGCAGUGGGGAAUCUUAGACAAUGGGGGAAACCCUGAUCUAGCCAUGCCGCGUGAUCGAUGAAGGCCUUAGGGUUGUAAAGAUCUUUCAGAUGGGAAGAUAAUGACGGUACCAUCAGAAGAAGCCCCGGCUAACUCCGUGCCAGCAGCCGCGGUAAUACGGAGGGGGCUAGCGUUAUUCGGAAUUACUGGGCGUAAAGCGCACGUAGGCGGAUUAGAAAGUCAGAGGUGAAAUCCCAGGGCUCAACCUUGGAACUGCCUUUGAAACUCCUAGUCUUGAGGUCGAGAGAGGUGAGUGGAAUUCCGAGUGUAGAGGUGAAAUUCGUAGAUAUUCGGAGGAACACCAGUGGCGAAGGCGGCUCACUGGCUCGAUACUGACGCUGAGGUGC